AAUUAGCAGGUCAAGAGAAGCCGGAAGUCAACCCAACCACGCACAUCCACCGUCAGAUCACACCCCAGCCAUGGCCUCCGCCUCCGCCGCCGUCGCCCUCAACGUCGGCGGCGAGCUAUUCCAGACCACCGCCGCCACGCUCUCCCGCGCCGGGGCCUCCUCCCCCCUCGCCUCCCUCGGCCCCUCCCCCCAAUCCGCACCGCACUUCCUCGACGGCGACCCGCGCCUCUUCGCCCAGCUCCUCUCCUUCCUCCGCCACGGCCGCCUCCUCGCGCCGGCCCCUCCCUCCGCCGCGCUCCUCGCCGAGGCCCGCCGCUUCGCGCUCGACGGCGCCCUCCUCGCCUCCCUCUCCCCGGCCUCCGCCUUCGCGCCGCUCUCGCUCCGCCCCUCCGCGCUCCUCCCGCUCACCGGCCGCGUCUCGCCCUCCGCCGUGGCGGUGUGCCCCUCGCCGCCGCACCCGGCCUCCCUCGUCGCCGCGCACGGCGGGGUGGUCACCUGCUUCGACGCCGCGCUCGCCACCCGCGCCAGCGUCCUCACGCCGCUCCCCGCCGUUGACUCGCUCGUCGCGGUGUCCCCUGCCCUCGCGCUCGCCGGCGCCCGUGACUUCCCCGGCGUCCACCUCUGCCGAUUCCCCACCGAUGGCCCCGCCGCCGCUGCUGUUCCGGAGGUGCUUUCUUGGCCGGGCUCGCCCUCGGCCACCGUGCUGUCAAUGGCGGCCACAGCGCCGUCCGGAGACCCAUCGGCGCCGUUGCUCUUCGCCAGCUUCGAGUCCGCACGGCGCAACUCGAGCGCCAUGGUGGUGUUCGAUCUGAAUUCCUUGUCUCCUGUGGCGGAAAUCGGGCGGAAGGAGGUGUUCGGUGCGGAUGUUGAGGCCGCGAUACCAGCGACAAAGCUGGGGUGGCUUGGUGAGAACAAUCUCUUGCUCGCUGCCGGCUCAUACUCCAGCCCGGGCGGGGUUGUGGGGGACAUACGCCUGUGGGAUAUCAGGGCCAGUGCUACGGUGCCGGUGUGGGAGGUCAGGGAAAAGGAGGACUGCUUUGCGGAUGUUGCUGCAUCAGACACUCUGUCAGGACUAUUCAAGGUGGGGGCUUCAUCUGGCGAGGUGUUCAUGGCAGACUUGAGGAGGCUUGGUAAUGGUGGUGGCAUUGGGUUGGAGCCAUGGGUGUGCAUUGGCGACGGACAGAGGGCAGCUGCUGCGGCGUCUUCUAGAAGGAAAGAUGGGAAUGGCUGUAUGAUUGAGUGCUACUGCAAUUGGGUGUUUGUGGCACGAGGCGCAGAUGUGGAGGUGUGGAGUCAGGUUGAAUUGGCACCAGAGGCCGGUGGGAAGAAGGUGAUGAAGAGGAAUUGGGUUGGCAGCGGACCAUACAUGGAUGUGGGGGCUGGCGAGGAAGCAGUCAAGGAGAAGGCCAAGAUUGUGAGCUGGGCAUUUGGAGGCAGCAGGAUGGCAUUGGCCAGAGCUGAUAAGAGGUCUGUCGAAGUAUGGGAUAGUGCUCUGGCGAAAAUCUGUGCAAAUCCCUGAAUAGAGGAAGAACAAUGCAAAAAGGCUGGAUUUUUUCCUCUGGUGCGGUGGGAAUUGCGAUUGGUAUGAUUCCAGUGUCAUGAACCUCAUCUAUUUUUUUUUCAAUCCUACAUUAAAAUUUGCUUGCCAAGUUUGUUGUAGUUCACAGUGUCUGCAACAACCAGCGCUAUAGUUCAAGGAACAAAAUUCAGAUUGGUCUCAACCCUGCUAACUAGAGUAUAUCUGCAACACCAUUAGCUUGUUCUGGAUGUGAGUACUAGACUGCAGUUUAACAAGCAAUGCACCCAGCACCAAAGACUAAUUGGUAGGCAGUAUGUGGCGGCAUCCUGUCUAUCCUUUGCAAUUCACCACAUUCAGGUUGGUACAUAAAGAUCUUAAAUUGUUAUAGUUGCAAGCUUCUCCUCAGCCUGUGGUGUAGCGAUGGCUGAAGAAGGAAGAAGUACAUAAGAUCUGCAUAAACUAUCUAACUAGAUAGAAAACUACGUGGACCCUAAGAGAUCCUUUCUACCCAUAUAAAAGAAUUCUCUUUCUAUCAUUACUUAACCCAAACAAAUUAGCUUAUGGUUAGUACACUCCUCAUUGAUUAUGUAAAUCAAUACUUAAGAAUACUUUCAGGUGAAAAUCAUAAACGGUAUGCGUACUCUUGAAGGCUAACAAUAGUGAACUACUCAAUGAAGGCAUAUUUCCCUUUAUGGAUAUGAACUUCUUAACAACAUUUAUCAUCAUUAUUGUUCUUGUUAACUUUUUAGUGGUUUAUCCUACUCUACUUGUUGGCUGAAAGAAUCUAGGCUCCUAUUUCGAGUUUUGGUAAUUAAUGACAAACGUUUGUGGACUAACAAUUUCUUGACAAGAAAUGAGUAUAGGUUGAUCCAAGGUAAAAGUGAGCAUACACCAAUGAUAUGAGAAAGCUUGGAAUUGGU